CUACGGGUGGCUGCAGUGGGGAAUAUUGCACAAUGGAGGAAACUCUGAUGUAGCAACGCCGCGUGGAGGAUGACACUUUUCGGAGCGUAAACUCCUUUUAUAUAGGAAGAAGAUGACGGUACUAUAUGAAUAAGCGCCGGCUAACUCCGUGCCAGCAGCCGCGGUAAUACGGAGGGCGCAAGCGUUACUCGGAAUCACUGGGCGUAAAGAGCGUGUAGGCGGAUUAAAAAGUCAGAAGUGAAAUCCUAUAGCGUAACUAUAGAACUGCUUCUGAAACUCUUAAUCUAGAAUAUGGGAGAGGUAGAUGGAAUUUCUGGUGUAGGGGUAAAAUCCGUAGAGAUCAGAAGGAAUACCGAUUGCGAAGGCGAUCUACUAGAACAUUAUUGACGCUGAGACGCGAAAGCGUGGGGAGCAAACAGGAUUAGAUACCCUAGUAGUC
rnacentral:rRNA from 1 species